AUUGAACGCUGGCGGCAGGCCUAACACAUGCAAGUCGAACGAGUGGCGGACGGGUGAGUAAUGUCUGGGAAACUGCCCGAUGGAGGGGGAUAACUACUGGAAACAGUAGCUAAUACCGCAUACCAUCGGAUGUGCCCAGAUGGGAUUAGCUAGUAGGUGGGGUAACGGCUCACCGAGGCGACGAUCCCUAGCUGGUCUGAGAGGAUGACCGGCCACACGGGGACUGAGACACUGUCCAGGCUCCGUCGGGAGGCAGGAGGGGGGAAGGUUGCACAAUGGGCGGAAGCCUGAUGCAUCCAUGCCGGGUGUAUGAAGAAGGCCUUCGGGUUGUAAAGUACUUUCAGCGAGGAGGCGUUACUCGCAGAAGAAGCACCGGCUAACUCCGUGCCAGCCGCCGCGUAAUAC
rnacentral:rRNA from 1 species